rnacentral:rRNA from 1 species
AAAAGGGCGUUUGGUGAAUGCCUUGGCAGUAAGAGGCGAUGAAGGACGUGAUACUCUGCGUUAAGCCAUGAGGAGCUGAGAAUAAGCUUUGAUCCAUGGAUGUCCGAAUGGGGGAACCCACUUGAUAUUAUGUUAUUGUUACCCUUCGGGGUGCUCAAUAGCAUGGUAAACCAAGUACUUAUUACCUGAAUACAUAGGGUUUUAAGAGCAAACCCGGGGAACUGAAACAUCUAAGUACCCGGAGGAAAGGAAAUCAAUAGAUACUCCCCUAGUAGCGGCGAGCGAACGGGGACCAGCCGAGCUGAGAUUGUGACUAGAACGUGUUGGGAAGCACGGCCAUAGCGGGUGAUAGCCCCGUAUAGGAAGCAUGAUUAGACGUAUUAAGUAGGGCGGAACACGUGAAAUUCUGUCUGAACAUCGGAGGACCACCUUCGAAGGCUAAGUACUCCUUACUGACCGAUAGUGAACCAGUACCGUGAGGGAAAGGUGAAAAGCACCCCGACGAGGGGAGUGAAACAGUACCUGAAACCGAACGCCUACAAUCAGUCGGAGGCUCCUUGAGGGCUGACGGCGUACCUUUUGUAUAAUGGGUCAUCGACUUGGUCUCACGAGCAAGCUUAAGCCGUUAGGUGUAGGCGCAGCGAAAGCGAGUCUUAAUAGGGCGAAUGAGUUCGUGGGAUCAGACCCGAAACCGAGUGAUCUAGGCAUGAUCAGGCUGAAGAUAAGGUAACACUUAUUGGAGGGCCGAACCCACACCUGUUGAAAAAGGUCGGGAUGAAUUGUGCCUAGGGGUGAAAGGCCAAUCAAACUCGGAGAUAGCUGGUUCUCUGCGAAAUCUAUUUAGGUAGAGCGUCGACCGAAUACCCUCGGGGGUAGAGCACUGGAUGGGUAAUGGGGCCCCACAGGCUUACUGAUCCUAACCAAACUCCGAAUACCGAGGAGUACUAGUCGGCAGACACACUGCGGAUGCUAACGUCCGUAGUGGAGAGGGAAACAACCCUGACCUACAGCUAAGGCCCCUAAUUCAUGGCUAAGUGGGAAAGCAGGUGGGACGACCAAAACAACCAGGAGGUUGGCUUAGAAGCAGCCAUCCUUUAAAGAUAGCGUAACAGCUCACUGGUCUAAUUAAGUUGUCCUGCGGCGAAGAUGUAACGGGGCUCAAGCCAUGAGCCGAAGCUUAGGAUGCACAUAGUGCAUGGUAGCAGAGCGUAGUGUGAUAUAGUUUCUUUCCUCCUUAUCUUCCUUUGGGAGUGUUGGAGGAGUGAAACUUUCGAUGAAGCCGGCCUGUGAGGGAUCCGGUGGAGAGAUCACUAGUGAGAAUGAUGACAUGAGUAGCGACAAACAGUGUGAGAGACACUGUCGCCGAAAGUCCAAGGGUUCCUGCUUAAAGUUAAUCUGAGCAGGGUAAGCCGACCCCUAAGGCGAGGCCGAAAGGCGUAGUCGAUGGGAAUCAGGUUAAUAUUCCUGAGCCAGAUGGUAG